rnacentral:rRNA from 1 species
UACAGAGGGUGCGAGCGUUAAUCGGAAUUACUGGGCGUAAAGCGCGCGUAGGUGGCUAUGCAAGUCGGAUGUGAAAUCCCCGGGCUCAACCUGGGAACUGCAUUCGAGACUGCAUUGCUCGAGUAUGGGAGAGGGAAGUGGAAUUUCCGGUGUAGCGGUGAAAUGCGUAGAUAUCAGGAGGAACACCGGUGGCGAAGGCGGGUCUCUGGGCAGUAACUGACGCUGAGGAGCGAAAGCGUGGGGAGCGAACAGG